rnacentral:tRNA from 2 species
GCCCGGCUAGCUCAGUUGGUAGAGCAUGAGACUCUUAAUCUCAGGGUCGUGGGUUCAUGCCCCACAUUGGGCC